GGAAACCUAUUUGAGCAUGAAUUGAGAUCAUAGAGGUCCCCAAGCUCAAGGACAAGUUGAAAGUUUUCCUAUCGUUCGAAUUUUAGUGAGCAUUGAAACUUAGGUCAACUUCAAUCGACCAUUACUUUUUGUAUAUAUUGAAUUAGAGUGCCUACUAUAUAUCAAAUGAAAGGUAUUCGAAUUAUCUUUCCAAAGAUACCAAUUUUGCAAAAAUUCAACACCUGAG
rnacentral:lncRNA from 1 species